GACUAGAAUCAGCUGGGCCUGCAGAUUCCCCGCCCCCUCCCAGGUGAGUUAGGUUCUGAUAAAACCUGAGCAGGUUAGGCCCUGGAGAAGUAGUUCUCUUGAGGGCAGACUUUGUUACAAAGAACAGAACGUGCUGGCAGAUUUCGGGAUGGUUCCUCUUCCUCUCCUUCUGCUGGAAGCACAAUAAGGUUUUUUCCCUCAGAACUCCACCGUGAGGAUCUGGUAGGGCUCCUAGAGGCAAAAUUCACAGAGUGUGGGCCCCUCUGGAGUGUUCAGUUCUCAGCUUUUGCCUACUCUGAGCCUCUGGCAGUCCUUCAAUUGCAGUUAGGUUUUCCCCAGCUCUGGCCCAGUUUCCUGAAGAGGUUUCUAUGUGUGGGCUUCUGCUCAAGUUGUGGCCUUUUCUGCCUACAGUUCCUUCAGCAUUUGCUGCUAAGCUGGAGUCUUCCUCGAGGGCUCACACCAAUGAGUACUCCCCCAGAAUGACUGCCACAAGUGUUCACAUCGAGCCACACCUGCCCCUUGACUGCCUUCACAGGAGAUGUUCCAAUACUUGCAGCUCAAAGAGCAAAUCCAAAGUGGGGGGUUGGUGCUGACGUGGACAGUUGGACACAGCUGCUGUGAGCUGCUCCAAGAGGAUGAUCCAGACUUCGAUCAGACCUGGAAGCCAAAAGCAGACCUCUGUUAAAUUCAGUCGAGCAAUACAUAAUCAUCACAAGAUCACAGUGAACACUAUAUGUAAAAGGCUUCUGUAAACUGCCUAGCUAUACGGAUGUAAGCCGUUACCUCGUAGGCAGCCUUCAGUGCCUAUAAAUAUGGACAAAUUGAUUUCCUAUUCUGACAAAGUCAAAGGAAAAGAAAUACUGUUCACAGGAGCUGAUGAUACAAAUGAUGCAUCCUUUUAGUUCCAUCACCUUAAUCCUUUAAAAAUUUA